UACAUGUGGGGCAAGCGUUGUUCGGAAUUACUGGGCAUAAAGGGUGCGUAGGUGGUUUGUUAAGUCACGGGUGAAAGUUUUCGGCCCAACCGGAAAAUUGCCCGUGAUACUGGCGAACUUGAGUGCGUGAGGGGUAACCGGAACGAGCAGUGUAGCGGUGAAAUGCGUAGAUAUUGCUCGGAAGGCCAGAGGCGAAGGCGGGUUACUGGUGCGCAACUGACACUGAGGCACGAAAGCGUGGGGAGCAACAGG
rnacentral:rRNA from 1 species